UACGUGAGGGCGCAAGCGUUGUCCGGAUUUAUUGGGCGUAAAGAGCUCGUAGGCGGUCUGUCGCUGUCGGCGUGUCGAAAACCCGAACGGCUCAACCCCGGGCCUGCAUUCGAAUGACGGGCAGACUAGAGUUCGGUAGGGGGAGGUCGUGGAAAUUCCGUGUGAGCGGUGAAAAUGCGCAGAUAUCAGGAGGAACACCGGUGGCGGAAGGCGGGACUCUGGGCCGAUAC
rnacentral:rRNA from 1 species